UAAUAAGUUCUUCUUCGGGGU
ensembl:piRNA 21ur-13626 ncRNA